AAGGAUCCUCCCUGUUUCUCCCCUGACUGGCACUGGCUGCCAACUUACACUUUUCUUGGUGGAAUGGAAACUUGCAUUUGGGUUGAGCUGACGAGCUCCAAGACUGGAUCCUGAGAAAACAAAAAUACGCCUGAGAAAAAGUUUGUGACAUUUAUCAUGUCCUUGAAAUACAAACACAGUCCACUUUGCCUUGAUCUUCAGCCUUGGGUUAACUAUGCAAAGGAAAAAAGGCUUUAAAACUGAACGGAUAAUUUGGCUAUUCUGACUACUCCAUAAACUGAUUACCUACUUUUGUAUUCUUGUAAGACCAAAAGGGUAACUAAAGAUGUUUGGGUUUAUUAAACAUAUGUGUCGUACCACUGAAGAAAAAUUAUGCUAUAAAAAAUGUAUGGUUUUUUUGAAGUUAUGAAGAAUGUUCUUAAGUUUGCAGUCAGAAAAUGCUGGUGUAACAUUUCAAUCACUUGUUUCUUGGUUUUGUUAAAACUUUCAAGGGUUAAAAAUUGCAACUGCUGUUGAGGACUCUUGGUGAGUCCUCAUAUGUAAAAAUGAUAAGUGAAACAUUUUGGUAUGUAAAGCAAGUAGGAUAUAUGUUGUCAAAAAAGAGAAUGUAUAAAGAAUGGAGAUAUUUUUAUUGAGGAAAAAUGAUAAUUUUUUCCUACGGUUGUCUGUUUCCAUAUGAAAAAUUACAGCACAAAUUUGUCUGGAUCUAGAAAGUGACAAAAAGUUUGUGAAAAAGGAAUUUUGAAAAAAAAAAUGUGUAUGUUGUCAGGAUUAAGAUUAGACUGACUUUAACUAGGUAAAUGGAUUUUGUUACUAACAGUAAACUGAUGCAAAGUUGGUUCUUCUCUCUGUCAAAAAAGAAAAACUUCUAGAAUAUUCAACUGAUUUUGGUAACAGAGACUUCUAAUGGAAAGUAAUUGCUUUAUUUCUAAUCAUACUUUUAACCCCAAUGUUCAGGAUGGAAAAAUUCUCCACUAAGUUGUCACCAAGUAUAGCUGCUCAUGAUGUUUAGCACUGCUGACUUUAAGAGUACUGCUUAAAGUACAUAUACAAUGUUUGUCUGACAGUUAGGUAUGAAUGAUAAAAUGUAUGGCCUAUAGAACAUCUCCCUACUAACCUCUGAGCCUGUUCAUGAUAUCUAAUUAGUUGCCCCUCCCCCCCCCCAUAGGUGGACAACUAGGCAAACAUGUAAAUAAAAAAGAGGCCAAGCACUGAGGGACAUGGAUGGAUCCAGAGCAUGCAAAUGAACCAC